AAUAUUGGACAAUAGGCGCAAGCCUGAUCCAGCUCUGCCGCGUGUGUGAAGAAGGUCUUCGGAUAUUAAAGCCCUUUAAUCUGGGAGGAAGGGCAGUUAACGAAUACUUAACUGUUUUCACGUUAUCAAAAGAAUAAGCACCGGCUAACUUCGUGCCAGCAGCCGCGGUAAUACGAAGGGUGCAAGCGUUAAUCGGCAUUACUGGGCGUAAAGCGCGCGUAGGUGGUUUGUUAAGUUGGAAGUGAAAGCCCCGGGCUCAAACUGGGAACUGCUUUCAAAACUGGCAAGCUAGAGUAUGGCAGAGGGUGGUGGAAUUUCCUGUGUAGCGGUGAAAUGCGUAGAUAUAGGAAGGAACACCAGUGGCGAAGGCGACCACCUGGGCUAAUACUGACACUGAGGUGCGAAAGCGUGGGGAGCAAACAGG
rnacentral:rRNA from 1 species